rnacentral:lncRNA from 1 species
AAUCAGUCAUGCUACACAGUUAAAUGCCAAUAACAACAACAACAAAAAAUCUCUGGUCUGGAAGCUCAGAGGAGAUUCCUGGUUGGUGAACACACUGAUAUACCAGGAGUUACAGUCUUGAAACCAUGAAGAGAGGCCUUUGGGAUUUUCCUUGUCCUAUGUGUCUCUUCAUUUGGCUGGUCUGAUUUGCAUUCUUUAUAACAAAACUGUAAUCAGAAGUAUAGCAUUUCCCUGAGUUCUGUAAGUCAUUUCAGUGAGUGAACCUGAAGAGGGUCCUGGGAAGCUGUUCCCCCCACCCAGAUUUGCAAAAGACUGGUCAGAAGUUCAGAGGUCCUGGGGACCCCACUUGUGGCUGGCAUCUGAAGUGGGGAGAGUCUUGAUGGGCUGAGUGCUUUGCUCAUUUAACUCCAGGCUGUUAGUGUCGUGGUCCAUGCAAUGGGUUGGAAAAAGAGUUUUCCAGCACAGCCAGGUGAAGAGAAAGAAGAGUUUAUUGAGAUGAAAGAUGCUGCUAGUGCAUCAGGAGGACUUCCUGAUGCUCAGGGAGAGCUGACCCCGAGUGCAUGGGAGUGCAUGGUUGUGUCUGUUUUAAUAACCAAGGGAGAGAGGAGAGGUCUCUCCGUACAUCUGCCGACCUGCUGAUUGACUGGGGAAAGAGGGGUCUUAUGAUACACUUGCUGGUUGGCUGAGGAUGUAUAUUGCCCCUAGAAAAAGAAGAGUGGGACGCAUAACUUUCCUAGUAGGGGUAGGACAGAGUAGACCAGGUUGCUCAAGGUGGAAACAAGAGCAUUACAAGGAGAUGGGUGGGGUGAUAAGGGUCUGAUAAUUCUUGUCUUGGCCAGACUCUGAGUUCUCUCUUCUUGAAGAGGACUUGAAGUCCCACAGUUAAUGCAGAACUGAAUUGCAGCCUACCAGUUAGGCCUGGAACAGAAUCCUCUCCUUCAGUCCCGUGGGCAGUUCCUUGGCUGCGGCCCCAGACCCCACUGCCCCUGUUCUUUCUGUGCCACAACAGACACUGCCAGGCUCUCUGCACAGGAUCUUGCAGCCCCCAGAAGACCUGAUCCUGGCAGUGAUUUCUCUGAUGCUCUAGUAAAAGAAAUGCCCCAUCUUCUCCACUGGCCCUCCAGGAAAAUGCAAAUGUGACACUGGCUCCCCCCCCCUUUUCCCCUUCCCAGGGCCUUUUAUUUCAGACACGGGGGAGGGGGGACUUCCUCCAUCACGCUCGCUCGUGAUCUGCUCUUUCUCUGCUCAUGCCUCAACAGAAUUUGCUGCCGCUUUCCCCUUAUUCUUUUGGCCUUUAGGGGGGAAAAAAAAGAGUGCUGAAUGCCAGUGUCUCCAAGUGGAUGCUUGCGUGGCUCUUCAGAAAGCACAUGAAUAGAGCCAGUGAGUCUCGGGCUCAGAGGGCUGCUGGGGUCCAUCUGUAUUCACCAGAGAAAAGCCAGUGGCUUUUUAAGGGGAGUUCGCUAACCCUGUGUUCCCUCCUCCGCUCCUCAGUGGGCACUUCCCCGCGCCCUUUGGCAGUUUUUCCAGGCAAUGUGACACAAACACUGCAUUCUUCAAGAGAAGGGGGCGGGAUGAUCAAUGAAAACUCCCUAAUAAGUUGCAUGCACUCUGAGCGGUGCUGUCAGGCUUAAAGGUCACAUAUUUCUGAGGUAUGAAAAACACAGAGCUUGGUGGAAGCCUCAUGCAUAAGCAAAGCUUCUCCUUGCGUCCAAAAGUAAUGUAAAUGGCUGGGAACUUAUUUCUGUGAUAAAGGUUGCACUUUUUUUAUGUAUGUUAAACCUAAGGAAAGUGCUUAAAAUCCUCCCUGGCAUUUGCCUUGUGGAGCUCUUGUGGGCUAAUGGGCCAUGACGCGCCUUGAGCUCCUAGAAGGGGAAAGUGUGACGCCAGUGUAAAUGUAUUAUUAUUGCCAUUAGGGAUGGUGAUCUGGGGGGAAGAUUAAAUGUGAAAGAUAAAAUCACUGAAAUCUAUAAGGGAAAAUGUAAAACGGGGCCCACGAAGUUCUAUGCUUCAAUUAAAUUAAAAGACCACAUAAUGCUACAUUCUAAUCCUGUGUGCAUAAAUUAACAUAAAAACAAAAUGACAUAAAACUGCCCGCGUCAGCAGGAAAUUGAGGGGCCAUUAGUCAUUAGCCUCUCCAAGGCCCCUCUCAUUAUUAUUCAGUGCCUAGAAACUUGACGACCAAAGGCAAAGUGCUUAGCGGUUCUUUGUUGGUAAAUUGUGCUUCCUCAAAGCUGAGGCUCUCCUGGGCCCUCCUUCUAGCCACUGACCCAGAUUCCCCGCUUCGUGCGCCCCGAACUGGGGCACUGGUCUUCCUGGCCUGUUCCCCGGAGCAGCUUCGAACCCUCCCCCAAGCUUAGAGGUUCUCCAGGAUCCUGAAAGCUCUAGUAAUUAGCUGAUACUCAAUUGAUAACGAGGCAAGUCCUGAUUCUGAUUUGCGCAGGUCCUACCGCCUGCGUCCCAAUAUGUGGCCCCAUGACAGAGGGUUAAACCGCGGUUCCCUGUGCCACACCUGCGCAGGAGCUGUCUCUGUUUUGCCUACAAACUCCUAGAAGGGGCUUUGAAAUCAGGUCCGUCCCAAUCCCUGGAGCCCUGAGAUAAGUGUGAUAGAUGUGUUUUGGGCUUACUUUUGGGGUUGUCCGGCUGCACUGUGCCCUGUCAACAGUGGAGCUAAGCCCUCCACAGAGAGCUUCCUUUUGGAAACCCCAGCACCUUCACGUUGGAAGAAAACAAUAAAUGAACCCUUUGCUGGAAGUAUGGGUUGUCACUGCAGACCAAGGAAACACGUUGAUUUCUCAAUCGUCGUGUAGCAGGGUUUGUAAUGUGAAGCAGAGCCGCGUCCACAACAGGAUUCAGAUGUGUCCCAGCAGGUCUGGCGAGCCACUGGUGAGACCCGAGCAACACCUAUUUUCACGAGGACUGAGCCGCCUCUGAAGAUAAUUUCCUCCAAAGGAAUUACCCAGAUUUGAUGCCCAGAGCCUGGGCUAGAGGAGGGCUGAUUUGAAUAUGGCACCGGGCUGGCUCUCCAUCCUACCCUGAGCACACAACCAAGACCUCAUGCCUGGGUUGUGCCUGGGUCCUGCCUGGGUCCUGCCUGGGUCAGUUACCAGCAAUACUGCUUGGGAAACCCUCAAAUGGGCUUAAUACCAAAUGGAGAAAGACACCCCCAUAUUCUUUGCUGUCAAUUACCACCCAGCUUGGUGCUUCAGAGCUCAGGCCCAUUGCCUGAUGGCAGUGGAGGAGGAGCCCUCUGGGGCCAAGCCUCCUUCUAUGCUUGUGUGACCCAAGCCUGGAGACUCACAGAGUUGUUCAGGAAGCACAUCUCAGGAGAUGAGGGAGCUACAUGAACAGGUGUGUGGGUCAGCACAUCUGGAUUGUUUUGUAUCUAUAGGCUGGUGGGGCAUAAGGAAUUUGGGAGUUCACAGAUGUAUACUUAACACGCUUGAUUUUACCUAUUAAUUCUUUCAACAAGUCAUUAUUGAGCACCUGCUAUGCCUGGCAUGGAAUUAGCUUCUGAAGUUACAUGUCUCCAAAUCAAGUGGUAAUAGUGAGAUUUAAUAACCAAUUGUAAUGAUGAUUAUGAUGAAACCAAACAAGAAAACAAAGCUGAUAACUGUCAUUUGUUGUGUAUUAGUUAUGUGUCAUGCACUGUGCUAGGGAUAUAAUACAUAUGAUUACGCUUCUUUGCACAGUCCUACAGAGAGUACUUACUAAUCCAUUUUAAAGAUGAGGAAAAUUGAGGCAGACAUAUCCUAUGGCUAGUAGAUAUGAGAGAUGGAUUUCAAACCUAGAUUUGCACGACUCCUUAAUCUGAAGUCUUUUUGUCACACCAUAGGCUGUUUAAUAUAAAAUGAUCCAGGGUCCAAUGGGAGGGUUAGGGAAGAGAAAUUAAUGUGACUCGAUGCUAAGAACUGAACAGCAUUAUUGAGAUCAGAUCAGUGCUUUCAGUAUUCCAUCAUCCAAUACAUGGUAAUAGGGAAUAAAAAUUUUGCACACAAGCAUGUACCCUGUCGUGGUCCUUGAUAAUUUUUCCAGAGAGAAAGGAAGCAGAAACAUAAGGUAUCAGAAUAUCAAGCUUUUCUUGGCAGCCUGAAGGAGCAAUUCUUCCAGAGUUGCAGCGGUCAAGAAAUGCCUGAGGCUGCAUGAUGCUCUUCUGGGGGCAGAAGAGGGGCCCCUUGAUGGCUCAGCUGCCACUAGCACAGUAAAUGUUGUACGUUCAAUAUACAUUCACAGAAUUUAAUUUUACCAAUAUAAGGUAAACAUCAUUCAUAAGAAUGUCCUCUUCCUCCUUCAGAAAAAAGGGGGGCAGUUAUUUCUUGCAUAAAAGGGUCCUCCGAGUUGUGAAGUUUCCUGAACAUUUUUGUAUUUUUAAGAUUACUGAGAUUAACAUGAAACACUGUUUGGAAAAAGUGCAGGAGUAAAGAGAAUUUGAAAGCUAAAGUGUUAGAAGUUAAUGAAAGUUCAAUCUGGAAGGAAAAUUUAACCUCCUUGACAAGAUACUAUAAGCCAAUAGGAGAAUGAGUCAUCUCACACAAACCUUUUAGGAACACAUUUAUUUUAUCACGUGAGGCACAUCUGUGCAAGCAGAGCACUGACUCAAUCCUGUCAGGAGAAAAAUAAAAAGUUCUUCUACUAAUAUGCAGUACUUUUUUAUUUCCCCAAAGAUAAGAUAAACUCAGCCUAUGACCUGAAAGUAAGAGGUAUAAAACAGUCCACUUAAAAUUUAAGAUUGUAAAAAAACAUAUGCCAUCACGCUAAAUAAACUACUCAGUAACACCUAAUCCUAAAGGAAGACAAGGCUGUUCUCUGACACUUGUUUAUUGCUACAAUGAUAUACUAGGUAUGAACUAUGCUUCCAAAUUAUUUGCUCUCCAAGAAACUAAAAUCUAUCCCUCUAAUGCUUAUUAUCAGAAUGCUCUAGACAAAUACAUGCAAUUUCAUGUAAUUUUGUAGAGGCAAAUCAGCGGAAUUUUAAGCUGUCAUUUUUCCCAGGCAAAGCUGAUAUCAUUACCAUAUGACUACAGCCAGCAAACAGUUCUGCAGUUAUCUCAUAUCCUCACAGAAUCUUUUCCCCCAAAUGUCAAUGUCUUUCAAAUGCCUUCCAUAUGAACAACAUUCAAAGGAACAGUUCUGUAAUACUGCCACCCACCCACUCCC